CAGAAACCGCGAGCCGUUUCCUUUCUCUUCGGAAAUGGCAGUUUUGUUGUCCUGGAUGAAGGCGAGCGCCGCUGCCUCCCUGAAUGCUGAGCACGCUGGCUUCGCGGUGCCCGGAAGGAAGCCUUUGAAGAGUAGUUUUGCGGGCAGGGAGGGGACAGGGCCCUGACUCCAGUGUCUCCAGCUGAGAGGCUGAGCUUGCCAGCUCCAUUUCUGACUGCUCAUGGAGCAGAAUCAGUGACCAAGGAGAAAAGGGCUGAGUGAAGAAACAAGUGUGAGUGCCAAGAUGAUGCCAAGGGCUGUGAUUUCCUGGUGGGAAGAAAGAAGGAAUAGAAGCCAAAGGAAGGGGGAUGAAAAGCAAAACCAAGAAUCACAAGGAAUCAAGUUCGGAGAGAAUUUUGGCAGAGAUUUUGAGAGGGGGGCUUUAAGUCAGCCAUGGACAUACUGAAGCAAGAGGAAUGAAGGGAAAAAAGAAAAGGGGGGAAAAAAAGAAGAAGAAUGGGGCCAAGGAGGAUUUAAGACUACCAUUAUAGGUUACAAGUUGAAUUCUUUUUAAUAUUCUUCAAGCAAUGACAGUAAAGAUUCAAAUAACUUUUAAAUUACCUUUGAUUUCUAAACCAAGUUUCUUGGAAUGUGAAAGUCGCCAAGACUGGGCCCUGCAGGGCCUGGGUUGGGCUACUACUGCCUAUGGAGAUUCUGAGGGUAUUAACCUUAAUAAUGGCAUGAAAUCAAUAAAAAUCAUCCAAAAGCU
rnacentral:lncRNA from 10 species